rnacentral:rRNA from 1 species
GGGAAAUCCUUGAUCCAUGCCAUCCAGGCCUGUUACAAGCAAGGCCUUCGGGUUGUAAAAUGCCUUUGGCAGAGAAGAAAAAGUUUUCCCGUAAUAAGUGAAUACUGUUGACGGUAUAUGCAGAAUAAGCUACCGUCUUAACUCAGCAGCCAGCAGUCAUCGGUAAUACGUAAGGCGCAAUCGUUAAUUCGUAAGUGCUGAGCGUAAAGUAGGCGGUAUGCCGCUCUGAAAGAUAGAUGUGAAAUGCUCAGNCCUCAACCUGCAUCUGCAUUUUUAGAUGUCGAGUUAGAGUAUGUCAGAGGGNAGUAGAAUUGCAGGUGUAGCAGUGAUAUGUGUAGAUAUGUGGAGCAAUACCGAUGGCGAAGGCAGCCCCCUAGGAUAAUACUGACGCUCAGACACGAAAGAGCGGGGAGCAAUCAGGAUUAGAUACCUUGGUAGUCCACGCCAUAAAAGAUGUCAACUAGCUGUUGGGGCCGUUAGGCGUUAGUAGCGCAGCUAACGCGUGAAGUUGGCCGCGUGGGGUGUACGGUCGCAAAAUUAAAAGUCAAAGGAAUUGACGGGGAACCGCACAAGCGGUGGAUGAUGUUUAUUAAUUAGAUGCAACGCGAAAAACCUCCCCUACCUUUGACAUGUGUGGAAAGCCGAAGAGAUUUGUCCGUGCUCGCAAGAGCACCGCAACUCAGGCACUGCAUUGCUCUGGUCAGCUCGUGUGGUGAGAUGUUAAGUUAAGUCCCGCAACCAGCCCUACCCUUGUCAUUAGAUCCUACGCAAGAGCACUCUAAUGAGACUGCCGGUGACAAACCGGAGGAAAGUGGGGAAGAAGUCCAAUCCUCAUGGCCCUUAUGGGUAGGGGUUCCCCCCUCAUUCCAUGGUCGGUACCAAGGGUCACCGACCCGGGAGGGGGAACCAAUUUCACAAACCCCAUCUCAGUUCGGAUUGCAGUCUGCAACUCGGGUGCAUGAAGUCGGAAUCGCUAGUAAUCGCGGAUCAGCAUGUCGCGGUGAAUACGUUCCCGGGUCUUGUACACACCGCCCGUCACAUCCAUGGGAGUGGGUUUCACCCAGAAAGUCGGUAGCUUAACCGCUAAGGAAGGCACGCCGUACCCACGAGGAUC